UACGUAGGGGGCAAGCGUUGUCCGGAUUUAUUGGGCGUAAAGAGCGUGUAGGCGGCCAGGUAGGUCUGCUGUGAAAACUCGAGGCUCAACCUCGAGACGUCGGCGGAAACCAUCUGGCUAGAGUCCGGAAGAGGAGAGUGGAAUUCCUGGUGUAGCGGUGAAAUGCGCAGAUAUCAGGAGGAACACCGGUGGCGAAGGCGGGUCUCUGGGCCGAUACUGACGCUGAGGAGCGAAAAGCGUGGGGAGCGAACAGG
rnacentral:rRNA from 1 species